CCCUUAGAUGUCCUGGGCCGCACGCGCGCUACACUGAACGGAUCAGCGCGUUUUCCCUUCCCGAGAGGGACGGGUAACCUGCUGAACCCCGUUCGUGGUAGGGAUCGGGGCUUGCAAUUAUUCCCCGUGAACCAGGAAUGCCCAGUAAGUGCAAGUCAUAAGCUUGCGUUGAUUACGUCCCUGCCCUUUGUACACACCGCCCGUCGCUACUACCGAUUGAACGUUUUAGUGAGGUACUCGGACUGAGCCUCAGAAGAUUCACGUCUUUUGUGCUGCCCGGGAAGAUUCCCAAACUUGAGCGUUUAGAGGAAGUAAAAGUCGUAACA
rnacentral:rRNA from 1 species